CGCAAGGGGAGCGGCAGACGGGUGAGUAACGCGUGGGAAUCUACCAGCUCUACGGAAUAACUCAGGGAAACUUGUGCUAAUACCGUAUACGUCCGAUAGGAGAAAGAUUUAUCGGAGUUGGAUGAGCCCGCGUUGGAUUAGCUAGUUGGUGGGGUAAUGGCCUACCAAGGCGACGAUCCAUAGCUGGUCUGAGAGGAUGAUCAGCCACACUGGGACUGAGACACGGCCCAGACUCCUACGGGAGGCAGCAGUGGGGAAUAUUGGACAAUGGGCGAAAGCCUGAUCCAGCCAUGCCGCGUGAGUGAUGAAGGCCCUAGGG
rnacentral:rRNA from 1 species